AUGGAAGCACCACACCUGAUGGACAAUGGAAAUAUUCCACAGAACAGGAAAUGCUGUAAAGUAGUUUUAUAUACUUCAAUAUAUGUUUUGAUUGUGAUUUCAUUCCUGGUUUCUACAGUCUUCUAUUUGCUCCAUAAUAAACAGCCACAGGGGACAUGCUGGACACAUGGAUUUUUAAAAGAAUAUCCUCCAUCUGAAGACAAAGCUACCAUGAUCUGGGAAUGGAACUCUGAACAUUGCCAGGGCUUGGUGCAGCAUCACCUCGAACACUUGACAAUCAUGGAGAGUGGCAACUACUUCAUCUACGCUCAGGUCAACCGCAAAAAUCAGAUGAAUGUGUCUUUUGCGCUUCUGCUCUUCAAAGAGCCACACACCAUUCUCAACAAGGUUGUGGGACCAAACACGGGGGAAGAAAAUGGCACAGUAAAUUUUGGUAGACCUUUUCGUCUGCGUAAGGGAGACAGGCUGUAUUGUGAGGUAAAUUUUUAUCCUCGCGAUAUUGUCUUUGGGAAUCAGACUUACUGGGGCCUGUAUAAAAUAUAGCAGGGUUCUGCUCUGAGUCAGCUCCUCCCUUACACCCUCCAGGAAACCUUAGGGCACUUAUCAUGGAUGAAGAGCUAGCAAUUUCUCUUUACAUGAAGUUCAGUUUGCUGGAGUGCAUACCAUAGCAGGCUGACAUCCUGCAGUGACAGAGUAAGCUGUAAAACAAAGUAAAUAGCAAACUUUCAUAAUAUUGGAUGGCCCUUGAUCACCACAAAGUACAAGAGACAGAUGCUUCUGGGAGGAAGAGUCCUUGGUGCAUCACAGGGUUGACCUGAAGAUCCUGGAAAAACAGGUCACUAUAUUCAAUGUUCCAAACUGAGGGGGAGAUGGUAGCAUUUCAUAUCUGGGUAUCUGCUGGGAUCUUGGUGCCUUCUAAUGAAAGGUGCUAUGUAAAACUAAGGUUGUGCAGAAAUGAUAUACAAUACUUGCCCACAAAUGAUGCACUAGAGCCAGGGGAUGAAGCAGUUCAGAGCCAGCCUGUGACAGAAGAAAAGCUUUUCAACUCCAUCUGCAGCUUUGCCCUCUUUUUGUCGCUAGCAGGGUGAACAUCCCACUGGAGUUUUCCAAGGGCAGCUUCCUCUUCUUGGUUGUUUCAGAGCACAAAGACCUUUGCAGUCAAGCCCAAGCAGUACUGCUCCUCUUUGAAUUCACGUCACUUUCCUGCCACUAUCUGGAUGCAUGUACCAGCACUAGCUGAGCAGCCCAGAAACACAACAAAUGCUGCUCUGUGUAUCUAAACACUGGGAAAGAGAACUAAAAAACACGUAUGAGGGCAGCAGGCGUGGAGGGCUGGAGCAGCGCUCCUAGCUUUUUCCUCUACACUUUGUAGCAAGGCAGGGCAAGUGCAGUCCUGACACAGAAGGGGAAGGGUGCAGCACUCCUGCUUCUGCUCCACACAGACAGCCGUGUUGGUACUGCCACAGGGUGGUGGGAAACAUGAGCUACAAGGGGAGCAGCACACCCUUCACCUGCUUGGGUAAAACCACAUGUAACAAGAUGCUACUUGCUUCAAGGCCUUGGGUAUCUGCUCUGCUUCCUGGGAUGAAUGUCAUAUCAACUGCACAUCACAUGAAGGUCUCAAGGCCUCUGCAAAGGAAAGCACUCUUGGAAAACCAGUCUGCUGCAUCUGCAUUGUGGCCCAGUUGCCCCAUGUUCCUAGCCCCUGGGACAACCUGCCCAGGCAGGGGAGAUGUGCUUUGUCUUCCUGCCACCUGGACCUUCACAUUCCUCUGCUGUGCUCAGAGCUCAUAACAGCCUUAUGGAAGGAUGUGCAUGAGAAAGAAAAGCAACUGAGAAGCAGAAUGGAAAUGACUAGUCAUUUGGGGUGAGUUGGGGUAGUUAGCUCUGCUGGCAGCUCUUACAAUUUUAUAUUCCACGCAUUGUAAUUUUAAAGAACCAAGAACCAAUCUUUUACCAGGAUAUCUGUAGUCUUGAGUUUUGUUUCGUGCAAUCUUCGACUGAUGAAAACAUUACUCUUGUUCUUACUUUGCUUGGUUGUUUUCCCUUAGUUUAAAAUAAAAAAAAUCAUACAAACCGCA
ensembl:lncRNA